rnacentral:lncRNA from 10 species
UCCCCAUAUAUCCUUUCCAGGGUCAAUGUGCCAGGUGCCUUCCCCAAUCCCAAAUUACCACUGAAGGCACUGUAAUGGCUUAAUUUUUUAGCCAUUUAUCCCACUAAUCCAAAGGGGAAAUUUGUACAAAUUAGGUUAAAGCACUCAUGGUAGAGAUAUCUAAUACUUCUUCAUAUUCAGUUUUGUUCCAUUUCUAUGAACAUGUAAGAAUUAUACUUUCUCAUUCCCCUUAUAGCUGGGCAGGGCCAUGUGACUAUCCAGAAAGGCUCCUAGGAUCUUUACUACUGAUACACAGUAUUUCUUGGUAAUUCCUACUCCCAGGAAAAGCAGUUCAUUUUUUUUCAGGCUCUUCAAGAAGCUAAGGAUUAAGAUUAAAAAUAAAAUCUGGAUAUUUAAUCCCACAUCAAAAUUCGGAAUUUAUGUUAUUCCUGUCUCCUGCAUGUCCCACGUCUGAAAAUUCAGCAAAUCCUGUUGACACCUUUUACCUCCAAAUCAUGGCCUGAGAGUAUCCUCUUCUCUUCUGCUCCACUACCAUCACCCCCAGUCCAAGCCUCCAGUAUCUUCUCCUUUAUCCCUACAACAGUGCUUUAGUAGGUUUUUCUGUUCUCCCUCCUCCCCAAAUCAUCUAACUUGCAGGUUGUACAUAAAGUGUGACAGACAAUCUAUAUGGCAUGUUAAACAAACAUGUUGGACAUCAGGCUGAUUUGAGAAAGAGAAAAGGACUUAUCAGAACUUACACAGCUGAUUUCCUUUUUUUUCUUCUCUUUUCUUUCUUUCUCUCUGUUAUCUGUUUACUAUAUUAAGAACUAGAACCUGAAGGAGUGACUUUAGAGAAAAUUAUAGGGUAAGGAAGAAUAAAGGCUGAGACAGAAGGGAAGCCAAACCCUACAAAGAAAAGGAAAAGCUUCUCUGUGAUUACAGAAAGUAGCUUGGGAAGAUUUUGAACAGAUGAGAGUAUAUGCCCUGUGGAUCACUAAAAAGUGAGCUGGCACAGCCCACCCAUGCUAGGACUUGGAUCAGGUAACAAAAUCACAGGAUUGUGACUAGGUAUCCAAAAACACAAGACUCAGGGAUGUCUCUUGGUGGUUACAACCUCCAAAGUCUGGCAUGAGUCCUUGUGGAUGUCUCACCUUGUCUACACCUUUCUAAAUAGUCCCUUUAUUAGACCCUAUUUAAAUUACCCUCAUGCCUAUGCACCACCUGGUUUCUUCUGGGAACACUGACUUUACAGAUGUUAAUAUUAUAAUAUUAUAAAAUCACACCUACAUAGGAAGAUUAUGGAAACCAGCUGCUUUUACUUGACCACUAGAAAACAAAGAGAUUAGAAUCCUUUUGGAAAAUAGAAAUCCAUUGCAGAAUACCCUAGUUUUUUGAUACUCAAUGUCUGACAAAUAUGCCAGAACUUUAUAAUAAAAAAAGGUUUUAAAUUUUUUAUUGAUCCAUAAUAAUUAUACAUAUUUGUACAUAUUGUACACCAUUUGUAUAUACGAAGUACAGGUGAUAUUUUGAUACAUGCAUACAAUGUGUAAUAAUUAAAUCAGAGUGUUUAGAAUAUCCAUAACCUCAAACAUCUGUCAUUUCUUUCUAUUGGAAACAUUUCAACUCUUCUCUUCAAGCAAUUUUAAAAUAUAAAAUGUGUUGCUUUUAACUAUAGUCACCCUACUGUGCUAUUGAAAAUGAGAAUUUAUUUCUUUUAUCUAACUGAAUGUUUAUAUUCAUUAACCAACCUCUCUUCAUUUUCUCUUACCUACAUACCCCAGCCUCUCAUAUCUAUCAUUCUAUUAAUACUUUCUACCUCCAUGAUAUCAACGUCUAUACCUCCUACACAGGAGUAAGAACAUGAAAUAUUUGUUUUUCUAUGCCUAGCUAAUUUUACUUAAUAUAAUGACCUCUAGUUCCAUGCAUGUUGCCAUAAAUGACAGGAUUUUGUUCUUUAUGUGGCAGAAUAGUAUUUCAUUAUGUAGAUAGUCCGCAUUUUGUUUGGUAGACACACAUAUCCACACAAAGAAGAUUGCAUUCAUUUUUCCAGUUAAAAUUUUUAAAAAUAAUAACAAC